CACAGUGUUUACAGCUUCUUAGAGAUUCACCUGCCUCCACGUGCGUUUGGCCUUUACUUUCUGUCCACCAUUUUCUUUUGUGAGAUCCUUCACUUAGUCCCCAAAUCUGCCCGAUGCUUGAUCUGCUGUGAUCUCAUUUUGAAACUGAGUAUGCAAAAUGACUUCUUUAAAGCACACCGAAUACAAAAUGGCAGCUUCGACUGGCCAGCUGUUUGGAGAUGUGCGUGGCCUGUAACUCACCAAUGCAUGCUGAGGCUACACAAAUGCCUUCAUGUGUCUUUGUGCACUAGUUGAACAGCAGUAAGAGGACCACAUUCUCCUACUCUACAGCCAUGGAAAAUGAAUUUUCAAGCAGCCAAGAGAGUGGGCAUCUAACAUCUGAACAUACCAAGAGUCAACCUGUGAACUCAGAGGUGACUAUUCCAUGACAAGACUGUAAUUACAAACAUUGUCAUUGAAGUCCUUUGAUUUUGGCACGGCCCAAAUUUCUUUAACGUGAUUCUGGUGGUCUUUUCAGUUUCAUGCAAAGCUUCCCACUGGCAGGGUGUGUUUUUAUCUUCUGUGACAUGACAUUCAUCCACGAGCUGCUGCGAAUCAGAAUUCUCAGUUUUCUGGUACUUAAGUUCCACUUACAUAGUUGCAGGAAGCCAAAGUCAACCUUUCAAAUAAUUUUCCCACGAUUAUCCAUUUGAAUAAUCACAUCUCUCCCAUUCCCAGAAACCCCUUACUAAGGGCGAUUUGCACAUGUGGAAUCAUCACAAAGGAAGAAUGAAGGUUGAUGGCAAUUUUGAGGGACUGUGAGCACAGUGACUCCUAGAAGUUAAUAGUGAUCAAAAUUCCUGCUUGGAAAACCUCUGAAGGAUUUGGAGAGGAACGCUGAAAGGAUACAUCUCGUCUGUAGUCUGCAAAUGGGAGUCUCAGAAGCCUGUCACUGUGAUUACAGAAUCUUCCAUUCUGUCUAAGGCCCUAGGAGUCUUACUAUGGGCUUUGUAUAUGCUGACCCAUUUUCUUUGCAACUGGAGUUAAGGGCAUUUCCUUUACCCCUCAUGUCUUCUCCAUAGCAUCCCAUUUGGAUACACUUCAUUCCUUUUUAAUUUUUAGCAAUUUUAGAUAAAGACUCACAAUACAUGUUCACAUUAUUAGUGAAAGUCCAUUUGCCACAACAAGUCUCCUCCUCCCCCCACAUGUGUGGGGCAGGAAUGGGGACAGAAAUACAAGGACAAAAAGCAGACAUUGAAAUGAAAUGGUUAGUGGAAUCUAAGUAAGAUACAACACACCCAACAUAUGAGAAAGGUUUGUGAUUUUAAAUAUUUUAAAGUACAUAAAGACACAGUGAACAAAAAAAUAUCAGGAUACUUGUCUGGUCAGAUCUUCAAUAUCAAACCUUUCAGAGAAAUUGCAAUUGGUCAGUAACUUUAUGAUUUCUAAAGAAGCAGACAGUUCCUUGAGGGUUAAUGUCAUGUCUGAUAACUCCUGUUCCCAAAGUUGGAGCUACUUCUGUGAUCAGAACCUGCUAUUAAAUAAACAAGAAUGUUCCAGCCUAUUAUGUGUAAUAAUAUUUGAACUAUAGCCUUGGAGUUCUAUUUUCCUGAGAUGAUAAAUGAACAAUUUGUUCUCAGAAACACUAGUGAAAUUAUGUGUUGGCAGGAAAAGGAGAGAAAGUGGACGCAUAAUGGGAUAGGGAUGCCUGAGAACGUAGGAUGUCAGUAGAGAGCUAAAUCUGAGCAGGAAUAAAGGACCUAUAAGACUCCAUGGUAGAAUAUCAAACAUAACUUUUUGACAGAGGAAAGGACACUGAAAAACAUGGUAGCAGCCACAUGUGUGGGGCAGGAAUGGGGACAGAAAUACAAGGGCAAAAAGUGGGUAUUGAAAUGAAAUGGUUAGUGGAAUCUGAAGAAGACACAACACACCCAAGAUAUGAGAAAGGUUUGUGACAUGAAGAGUGUCAAGGAGAUAGAGAUCAUGUUGCAGUAGAAAUCUGUGGCAUAGGCAACAGGACAAAGACUUGAUGUAAAUACUUACAAGGGAAACUAAGAGACCAGGACGGUGGAGAUGGCCAGGUGAGUAAGAUGACUUUCUGCACCAGGAUGAGGAUCUGAGUUUAAUCUCAUCAGCAUUGUAAAAGACAGACUUAUUUGCAUGUGAGAGGGGAGAGAAGGUGGGUUAUUAGUCUACCUCCAGGUUAAGUGAGAGACCCUGCCUCAAAGGAAUGAGGUAGAGAAUGAGGUGACAUCAGACAUACUCCUUUAGCCAGUAUGUAUGCAUAGGCACCUGUGCACAUAGUUCACACACACACACACACACACACACACACACACACACAGAGAGAGAGAGAGAGAGAGAGAGAGAGAGAGAGAGACUUUUCCACACAUAUACAUAGAGAGAUAACCAAGGAAUGGAAAAGAGAAUGUCUUAGGUAAAGUACAAAGUACAAAAGAGAAUUGGC
rnacentral:lncRNA from 1 species